AGCUGAAUAAUAUGACCGGCCAGAAAUACGGUAUGUCCGAGCUAAAAUUGAGUUGGCCGGUCACCUUGACCGGCGUCCCUCCAGCCGUUAUUUCGCGCCCUGGCUCUCAAGAUAAGCGUCUUCCAAUUACACCGGACAUUCUUAACGCGAUCUAUCGCUGCUUGGACUUCGCGGUCUACGAUGACGUUUUGUUCUGGGCCUCUUGUUGUCUGGCAUAUUUUGGUUUCUUGCGAUCAUCCGAGUUUACUGUA